UAAAAACCAUGAUGUCUAAUAUUUACCAUAAAUGAAUUACCAUUAAUGGUAAAUAUUAAACAUCGUGGUUUUUA